AACGAACGCUGGCGGCAUGCCUAACACAUGCAAGUCGAACGAAACCUUCGGGACUUUUGGCGCCCGGGUGCGUCACGCGUCGGAACCUUCCCUUAGGUUCGGACUACCUCCCCGACUGGGGUGCCAAUGCCGGAUCAUGUCUUCUGCCCAAGGAUUUAUCGCCUUUGGAUGUUCCCGCGUUGGAUUAGCUCGUUCCUAGGGUAAUAGAAUACCACGGCGACGAUCCAUAGCUGGUUUGAGAGGCUGGUCCGCGACACUGGGACUGAGACACGGCCCAGAAUCCUACGGAAGGCAGGAGUGGCGAAUAUUGGAAAGUGGGCGAAAGCAUGAAGCAGCAAUGCCGCGUGAGUGAUGAAGGCCUUAGGGUUGUAAAGCUCUUUUAACCGGGAUGAUAAUGACAGUACCGGGAGAAUAAGCUCCGGCUAACUCCGUG
rnacentral:rRNA from 1 species